UGCUGCAGUACUCAACAGACGAACUAGUCAAAGAGGUCCAGAAUUCCGUGGAAGAGUUCAAGCGCCAUAAUCAAGAGUAUGAUGAAGAACGUGUCAGACAGCAGGUGCAGGAUGUCCUUGAGGGAGCGAAAGUUCUUGAAUGGUUGAGAGAGAACUCUGAUAUCCAGUAUGCUUUCAGAUGAGAGCAAAUCAGAGCGUCUCUGUGAAGGUCACCGUAUGUAGAUUUUAAUUCUCCCUUCACUGGACUUUUGGUGGUGAUUUUGGUUCUUUUCCCAUUUAGAUUGCCAUGAAUGGUGAUCUUCUGUUUAUUAUGUGUUCUGGCAGUAAUUUAUUAUAUUAUACAAUUUAUCCCCUUA